CCUACGGGUGGCAGCAGUGGGGAAUAUUGCACAAUGGGGGAAACCCUGAUGCAGCAACGCCGCGUGAGUGAAGAAGUCAUUCGUGAUGUAAAGCUCUAUCAGCAGGGAAGAAAAUGACGGUACCUGACUAAGAAGCCCCGGCUAACUACGUGCCAGCAGCCGCGGUAAUACGUAGGGGGCAAGCGUUAUACGGGUUUACUGGGUGUAAAGGGAGCGUAGACGGGGACGCAAAUCUGAAGGGAAAUGCCAGUGGUCAAAACUGGGAAUGCUUUGGAUACUGUGUAGCUAGAGUGCAGGAGAGGUAAGUGGAAUUCCUAGUGUAGCGGUGAAAUGCGUAGAUAUUAGGAAGAACACCAGUGGCGAAGGCGGCUUACUGGAUUUUUACUGACGUUGAGGGUCGAAGGCGUGGGGAGCAAACAGGAUUAGAUACCCCAGUAGUC
rnacentral:rRNA from 1 species